GUUGAUUUUACUGUGCGUUUUUACUAUGCAAGGAAAGAGGAAAAAGAAAUGGCCUCGCAGGCACGCCUAUCCCUCCCGUUUCUCUCGAGCGCUCUCUCUCUCUCUCGAUCCUCUCUCGGCCGCCGGCCGAUUCCGGCCGUUGCCGGCGGUCUCCGGCGCCGCCCAGCACUCCCUCAUGUUCUCCUCGAUCCGGCCUAUCUCCUCCACCAACUCGAUUCGACGCUCGCCUCCUCCUUGUGCGCCCGUGCCUAACCCUAGCCGCCACUGUCGCAAGCGCACGGCGCCGUCAUGGACGCCGGCGCGGCUCCGGCGCCCCUGGCGCUCAUCCUUGACGCCUCCUGCCCGCUCUCGCGCGUCACCGAGGCCGUCGGCCUGGAGUCAUGCCCCGACGCACGUGGCAGCUCACACCAGGCCAUCAGGGCCGCCUACGCCGUUGAGUCCACCAAGCCGCUUGACCACGACGCCGGCUGCAGCGACUCCCGUCCCAGUCCAUCCUCGUCCCUGUCUCUGGUCGGCAUGUAGUUGGAGUGGAGGAUCUUGGAUUUGAGUACGUGAGGGAGGAGGAGCAAGACAAAAUUGAUAAGGCAAGAAUUGUUUUCCUCUCAAUUCAGGUUUCUGUUGCACCUCCAAAAUUCUAACUAAGAUAUAAGUGUGUUUAGGUCAGAUUUAAGGGUGUUGUUUAACCUGAACUUAGUGUUGGGAAUUGGUUCCUCAUGAAUUUUACCUACCUCAUCAGUAUCAUGUGAUCUAUUUAUCCAAAUCUAUGCCGUGGUCUCCUAUUUCUCUUUUGCGUGUUGGAAGAACCAAAUUUUGCUCCUGAAAAUGCAAUAUCGGUUUUAAGAAUUGAGAAAUUGAAAGAUUUGUGUGCUAUCAAAGUGCCUCGUUAAGUGAUUUGCUUAAAAAUGUGUAAGUUGGCAGCUCUUCAUUCUUUAACUGUCAUAUUUCACUCUUGUUUAAAAGUUGUUAACUGAUAGCAGUGCCUUCUCUAUUGUUAUUUUCGAGACGCAAGACUCUGAUGCUCACGAAGAAGAAGCUUGUUCCAUCAAAAUCUUGGAAGAUGGGAAGUCUAGGUGCGAGUGGUACACUAAUUAUGCCGAGCUGUAUUUCGAAGUGUCCUCUCUUUAGUGCUGAUGAUCCGUCAUCCAUGAAUACCGUGUAGUCAGAUAAUGCGUGCACAUACGUGCAGAGUAGACAGAGAGGAGCCUUGCCUUCUUAUGAACAUGGAUAGGUUGUCGUAUAACAGAGGGUGAGAGCUAAGCUACUUCCAAUGAGUUGAGAGAAGAUGCGGAAAUCAUAUUCAUGUUCGUUCAUAAAAUUUGAGGAGUUUGCUGAUACUUCAUCUGGGAGUGGUGUCCCUUCGUCAGUAGCAGCAGCAACAAUCCUGGAAUUGCCACGGCUGCAUGCUGAAGUCUGCAAUUCGAUGUUCUUUUGUUGACGUGGGCUUUCAUCAGAUUGUUGUGCAGCAAGGUUGACUUUUUUUGAGUGAAGAAACCUGAUAUUGGAGUAACAAUAGGUUUGGCUGGGAGCAACUUUUUGGAUGGUAUAGUGUCCAUGGUUUAAAUAGUAGUGGCCGGAUAGCAGUAGCAGUUGACACUUGAUGGCUAGAAGGCUUAUGGAUGUGAACUCCAGAUUCAAACUUUGCUUUUCAUGCUUUUUGUUUGCAAGCCUUGUUUCUUAUGGUCUGUGUUCAGAGUCACCUUCAUACGACAUGAGUCAAGUCUGGGAUAUGAGGGGCAGUACGAUGCAUGCAUAGUGCCUAAGAAUGCCAAGUGACCAGUGGGAUGCCCUUCAAGAAAAUUCAUCUCCAUUAAGGACCUACAAGAGAUCAAACUUUUUGAUUCCAGGGACUGGUGAAGCACAAAAAGUGACACAGGGCUCUGUUGCUAAAGGAAAAAUUAUGCAACAAACUUCAACAUUCGUGGCACUGCCUAAUACAUGAUUUUUUGACGAGAGAGACUUGAUUCUUGUGGCUGCACAUAAUGCAGUUAACCAGUGCAAAUACUAUUAUUCCGAUGCAAAUUUGAUCCAAAGUAACUGUGGCAUAAUGGUUUUAAUGUCAAAGGCAGAGGCAUCUUGUCUUUGUCUUUGGUGAGUAUAGUCAACAUAGCAACUCACAUGCAUUGAUAUAUAUGUACAAAUCUAUGCCGUGGUAUAUAUAUGGGUGAAGAAUAACUUAUUCCUCACCCUGGUCGAUAGACUGGCGGACACGGGCUCAAAUAAACCAACACAUAGCUCUACUGACGUAAAAUUCUACUGGUGCCGUAGUAAUUUUACUUUUCGCCGAUCGGUUAGCUGGUCGUGGGGAUUAGGAGGAGAUUCCACUCCCGUUCCUUUCAUAUAUUUUUGGAAAAAAAAUGUUUCAAGUCUUGAGCGAGAUUAGUGCCUGGCGAGCGGCUUCCCUCGGUGCUGGCGGCCAACUUCCCGUUCUAUUUAGUUCGGGCGAUUCGGUGAGCAGUCAGCGUGGUGAUCGGCGGGCAGGCGGGGCAAUGUGGCGGCUGGCCUCGAUGUCGGCCGCCUUGUGGUGGUCGUGGCGGCUCUGUGGUGGGUGGGUGUGCAGGUGCCGUACUGACUACUGAGUCUUAUCUUUUUGUUGAGGAUUUGUAUUUUAUUUUCUGCCGAUCGAGUGUUCCACUUCCACGUAUUCUGCCCGGAACCGCGGCAGUCAGGAAGAAGACGGAGAAAAUUCGUCCUGGGAAGUAGGCAGUAGUAGCUGACGCGGACGAGGAGGCGUGGAAAUUGGGUGCACCAACGGGGAGAAGCCAGCGCCUCUCCUAGCCGUGGAGAGUGGCAGCAGCCAUAGCACCCCAUUGAGGUGCAGCUUGUGUUUCAGAUCCAAUUCUGAGUGUCGUGCGUGGGUUUGAGUGAGUCAAUGAUGUGUCUAAUACCAAUCUUCCAAUGGAGGAAGCCGCGAGAUAGCUGCUGGCGCAUGGGAGGAUGUGAGCAACCCUAAUCCUGUGGUUUAAUUUCCACUUUGUUUCUCUGCCAGUAAAUUUCCACUGGAGGAAGCCGCAAGGGCGCGGGUGGGGAGCGCAUGGGAGUGUUAGUGGUGCGUGGAUUAAGAUUUCAGUCAUGGGUGACUUUGCCUGGAUGCUUGUAAAAUUGGUCACUUGGACAUCAGAGGCAUUGUGAUGCCGAGGAUCUUGUAGAGGAUUUAGGAAAGUGAAUUGCAAUAUUAUUGAAGCAAAAUUGGUGAAGUUCGAUGAGGAUUCGAAAUGGCGUGCAACCUACUUACACAUAGAUGAUUUCUAGAGAUUUUUCCUUCAAAAAUUGGAAAUGCUCUUGGUACUGAAGAUAACGUUCUGACAAAGAAGCGGGUAUCACUUAUUUUGUGGCAAAGAUGCAGACCGCAAGAUCAAACUAAGCCUUCCAUGAGUCUCAUUUUUUGAAGCUCUCACAGAGAAGUUAAGGCUCUAUUAGCAUGUUAUGUAGGAAAGUUAUAAUCAUUGUAUUAGAAAAGCCUCAAAUGCUCCUCUCACCAUGGUGAAAAAGUUGUGAAUGAUCUAUAGAGAUUUUUAAUGUAAGUGCAUGGUUGUCAAUGAGCUUAAUCUUUUGUAAAUCCAACAAGAUCCUACCGAUGCAGUUCUAUUAAGUAUAUUCUUUCUUUUUUGA